rnacentral:rRNA from 1 species
CAGUCGCCGCGGGAAUACGUAGGGUGCAAGCGUUAAUCGGAAUUACUGGGCGUAAAGCGUGCGUAGGCGGCUUCUUAAGUCGGAUGUGAAAUCCCUGAGCUUAACUUAGGAAUUGCAUUCGAUACUGGGAAGCUAGAGUAUGGGAGAGGAUGGUAGAAUUCCAGGUGUAGCGGUGAAAUGCGUAGAGAUCUGGAGGAAUACCGAUGGCGAAGGCAGCCAUCUGGCCUAAUACUGACGCUGAGGUACGAAAGCAUGGGGAGCAAACAGGAUUAGAUACCCCGGUAGUCCCUGUCUCUUAUAC